rnacentral:rRNA from 1 species
AUUGAACGCUGGCGGCAGGCCUAACACAUGCAAGUCGAGCGAGCGGCGGACGGGUGAGUAAUGUAUGGGGACUGCCCGAUAGAGGGGGAUAACUAAUGGAAACGGUAGCUAAUACCGCAUACUAUCGGAUAACCCAUAUGGGAUUAGCUAGUAGGUGAGGUAAUGGCUCACCUAGGCGACGAUCCCUAGCUGGUCUGAGAGUAUGAUCAGCACCACUGGGACUGGUACACGGCCCAGACUCCUACGGAGGCAGCAGUGGGGAAUAUGGCACAAGGGGCGCAAGCCUGAUGCAGCCAUGCCGCGUGUAUGAAGAAGGCCCUAGGGUUGGAAAGUACUUUCAGUCGGGAGGCGUUACCGACAGAAGAAGCAGCGUCUAACGCCGUGCCAGCAGCCGCGGUAAA